UCUUCUUACAGGUUAUCCUGGCCUAGCUCCGAUGUUCUUACUUCUCCUUCAAAGUGUGAAUAUGACUGUUGUGGAAAUGGCCAACCAAAAAGCAACUGGAAUAUAUGUGCUUUGUGAGCCAAGGCAUGUCCUUCUGUGUGGCCUGGAAAAUCUCUAGCACCAUUGAUGACAUGACCAUAAAGCCAGUGAGAGGAGACAGGAACUGCCAUGCACCUCUGGAGUAUUUCACAACAAUCAACUCCACACAAAGCCUUCCCUUGCAGAGACCUAAGUGCCUGUGCCCAUUGGAAGACAACCUGAGUUGUCCACAAGUGGCUGUAGUCAAGAAAUUCAAGAAAUCAGCAUAACUUCUGCGAAAUUGGUGCUGCUCAAGAAUUGCUACCUAACCAGAAAGACUGAAACCUGGAUUCCAAGCGUACCAAUCCUGCACUUCUCUAUCAAUUGCUGAUAUGGAUCACUGGUCACAGCUCUAAUUGACUGAUUACACAAAAGCACUUUGCAAAAUCAAGACUAAGCCUCUGCAAAGUAUGAACUGCUGUUCCUAGUGACUGGCUCCAUCAGAGCUUCAAAGUUUGCAUAGAGCCACCAAAAUUGAAUUUACUGACUUAAAAGCAAAACUUGGGGGAUUUGCUCUGGACAUUUACAGAGUCUGAAGGAAUAAUGAAUAGAACUGGAACAGCCAGAAGAAACAGUGAUUGCCAGGGUGUAAAUUGAGCAGCAGUAUUUAAAAAUGUGUUUUGUGUCUGGCUUCAAGUGAAAAAAGGAUUUAGAUCAGAAUUGAUGUUAAGGUUGGAAGAUCAGCUUUUGAUUUGCCGAUAGCAAAAGUUAGAUGAAUUUGGGGAAAAUACGAUAGCACAAACUAGCAUGCCUCUGAAAUAUGAUUUCAUUGAUGGGGCUGUGAGCUUGUUUUCCUUUUACCUAUUUCAAAACUAAUUAAAUUAACUGGUACCGCGUCUACCUAUUUACACUGUAAUCUCAAAUCUAAUUCUGCACAUGGCCUUGAGACAUCUUUUCGUCUGUUGCCUUGAAAACAGGAAGAAAAGCAGAGACGGAGAAAGGAAAGCAUAAUCAAAAUGCCUGGUAGUAACUAAAGAUCUGAAUAUCAAACUGCUUCGUUGUCACAAUUAUUUAGAAACAAGCCAUCUCACUUGCAGUGAGCAUUACGAUCUCACAUGGCAAACAGUGGAAUAUCAAAUCAGGAGAUCAGAAUUUAUGUAACAAAUUAGUCACAUCAAACAUAAUAAGAUUUUGUGUUCUCUUUCUGCAGCACCACAUUAUCCAUUUCACAAAGUCUAGAGUAUGUUUAAAAAGACCCUCACAGUUUUCAUGGACAUUUCAGCAGCCCAAGAACAGAAGCCAUUAUAACAGUGCAACCUAAUAAAUUCUACCAAACUAGUGGAGUUUUCUUCUUC
rnacentral:lncRNA from 1 species